UAUUCUACCCUACGGGGAAGGAUGAGAAGCUUCGACUAAGGUUCGACUCGAGCGCCAGCGAGAGAACGUUGCCGCAGGCAACGGCCCGAAGGGCGAGGA
rnacentral:sRNA from 1 species